rnacentral:rRNA from 1 species
UACGAAGGGGGCUAGCGUUGCUCGGAAUUACUGGGCGUAAAGGGCUCGUAGGCGGCCAACUAAGUCGGAUGUGAAAUCCCCAGGCUCAACCUGGGAACUGCAUCCGAUACUGGAUGGCUUGAAUUCGGGAGAGGGAUGCAGAAUUCCAGGUGUAGCGGUGAAAUGCGUAGAUAUCUGGAGGAAUACCGGUGGCGAAGGCGGCAUCCUGGACCGACAUUGACGCUGAGGAGCGAAAGCCAGGGGAGCAAACGGG